rnacentral:rRNA from 1 species
UCCUGCCAGUAGUCAUAUGCUUGUCUUAAAGACUAAGCCAUGCAUGUCUAAGUAUAAGCACUUGUACAGCAAAACUGCGAAUGGCUCAUUAAAUCAGUUAUAAUUUAUUUGAUGGUAAUUACCACUUGGAUAACCGUGGUAAAACUAGAGCUAAUACAUGCGUAAAAACCUAACUGGGAACGGAAAGGUUGUAUUUAUUAGAUACAAAACCAAUAAAUUGGUGAUUCAUAGUAAUUAAACUAAUCGUAUAGUCUUGUACUGACGAUAGUUCAUUCAAAUAUCUGCCCUAUCAACUUUCGAUGGUAGUAUAGAGGACUACCAUGGUGGUAACGGGUAACGGAGAAUCAGGGUUUGAUUCCGGAGAAGGAGCCUGAGAAACGGCUACUACUUCCAAGGAAGGCAGCAGGCGCGCAAAUUACCCAAUCCCAAUACGGGGAGGUAGUGACAAUAAAUAACAAUAUUGGAUUUUAUAAAAAAUCUAAUAAUUGAAUAAAAAUAAAAAAUAUUAUGAAAGUAAUUAUUUUUUAUUAUUAUUUUUUAAUUAUUAAUAAUUCAUUAUUAUUUUUAAUUAAAUAGUAAUUAUUAAUUCUUUAGGGAAUUAAUGUGUUUUAAUAAUGGAUAUUAAGAUGUGGUUAUUUAUCUAGGCAACUGGAUAAAUAAUCUGCUUAAUAAAAAUUAUUAAUUUGUAAUGAAUACUAUUAGCAUGGGAUAAUGGAACAAGAUAUUAAUCUUAUUUUCAUUGGUUUCUAAGAUUAAUUUAAUGAUUAAAAGGGAUAGUUGGGGGCAUUAGUAUUUAAUUGUCAGAGGUGAAAUUCUUGGAUUUAUGAAAGACUAACUUCUGCGAAAGCAUUUGUCAAAGAUGUUUUCAUUAAUCAAGAACGAAAGUUAGGGGAUCGAAGACGAUCAGAUACCGUCGUAGUCUUAACUAUAAACUAUGCCGACCAAGGAUUGGAAGUUGAUAAUAUAUUUUAUUUAAAAAUUAAAUCUUUUCAGAACUUUAUAAGAAAUUAUUAAGUUUUUAGGUUCUGGGGGGAGUAUGGUCGCAAGGCUGAAACUUAAAGGAAUUGACGGAAGGGCACCACCAGGAGUGGAGCCUGCGGCU